UCGGGGGUCGUCUAACGGUAGGACGGCAGGUUCUGGCCCUGCUGAUCUAGGUUCAAAUCCUAGCCCCCGAG
rnacentral:tRNA from 1 species